CAGUGCAGAAAAAGUACACAGGAAAACAUAAAAAAAGUUGAAAAUAAUAAACUCAAAAUAAUCUAAUACUCAAUGGAUAAUGUGGAAAACUGCAAAACUGAGCUUUCACAUCUUUGAAGUCUGUUUGUUGGCAGUGU